UACUUCACAAGUUCAAGGGCCUUGUGAGCCAAGGAGUUAGAAGCACUUGUCAUCAAAUACAGUGACAAAGAGUUACAUACGUGAGAAAAAAAGGAGCACUGUUAAACAUUUGCCAGCACACCACUGAAUAUAUGCAUAGAAGAUUCUGUCUCAGGAAAAGGAGGGAAUAUAUAGGAUGGAUGAAAAGAUCUUUCUGGAGGAGGCUGGAUUUGAAAUGACCCUUGGAAAACGUGCAAUAUUUAGCCUGUUAGAGAAGGAAGAAAAGGACAUGCCAGGCACAAGAAACAAAAGCAAAAACCAAGGGACAGUCUGGCUGGAGUGAAGGCUGUGUAUAGCCUUAAUGAGCAAUAAUGCUGUGAACGUAUGCUGGAUCCCGGCUGAAGGAAGCCUAGAAUGACAGCUGUGAUGGAUUUCUGUUAUCUCUCUUUCUUCUUACUUUCCCCCUUCUUCUCGUAGUAGCCUUCUGCCAGCAGCCAUGCUGCACCAGUGGAUUCUGCCCCACACAGAGCACACCCCACCCUCUGUCCAUAGUGAUAGGUCCUAGGAGAGACACACAGCCCAGGAUGGUCCAAGCAGAGCCCCCAAGCAGAUGUUUCUUAACUGGAUACGGUAUGCCAAAAGACAUUUUCCCCUUCUGUAGUUACUAAGCUUGAAGAAUGGCAGUCCAGAGCUGACUCAAGACACAUCAGGAGGAGAUAAGAGAAUCAACACAUAAUAAAAGCAGAGAUAAGAGAAGAAAGAGAGGUUUUUGAAUCUUUCGUUUCCGUUGUCUUCAGAUCAAAUCUCCCUGAUCUUUCUGAAGCU
rnacentral:lncRNA from 10 species